AGAGUCACCAUCUCAUCAUUAUGCCAGCGAUUCACUCGCCAAUAUAAAACCCUCCACGCCUCCCUUCCAUUCAUUUUCACGUCACAAUUCUAGGCCAAGAAGAUGUCAAAGCUCGUGGCUCUCUUCUCCAUCGUAGCUCUCGUGACAAUGUCCCUUCUCUCCUCCUCCGACGCUCGUCCCAUUGCUACGUCCAUCGCCACUUCCCUCGACCUCAACCAUAUCGCACAUCAGGUCGUUUCUGAAAAGAGUCACGACGAUGUUUGCGAAGGAGGAGAGACAAAGGAGUGCCUGGCUAAAAGAACGUUAGAGGCUCAUACCGAUUACAUCUAUACCGAUGAUACCAAGUCAUGAGCGGUUGUAUUCCGACCAUUGCGUUCAUAAUUCACCACACAUUCCUCUGAAAAAUGAGGAUAAAUUAUUAUUCCUCCAUGAUUAAUACAGUUUGAUAAUCAAAUAAUAUUAAUAAUUAUUUUU